rnacentral:rRNA from 1 species
UACGGAGGGUGCGAGCGUUGUCCGGAAUCACUGGGCGUAAAGGGCGUGUAGGCCGGUCAAGGUAAGUGGGAUGUGAAAUGCCCCGGCUCACCCGGGGGACCGGCAUCCCAUACUGCUUGGCUUGAGUACGGGAGAGGAUGUGGGAAUUCCUGGUGUAGCGGUGAAAUGCGUAGAUAUCAGGAGGAACACCGGUGGCGAAGGCGCACUCUGGCCCGAUACUGACGCUGAGGCGCGAAAGCUAGGGAGCAAACGGG